CUGAAACCCAGGAAAAAAACGCCACACCAUCGCCAGGCACCGAGGAGUGGUCCUCCGUCCAGGGAGAGAAUCCAGAACUGUAGUGUUUAAGCAGGUAGAGAGAGGACUUUAACAGGAAGAAGCAUAAGGUGUGCAGCAAAUAUCCAUCAAGGGCAAUGAAGUGUCAGUCCAGAUUGUCCAAGCACCAAAACUUGUUAAACAGUGCCUUCAGGAAACUUGGAAUCACCACAACAGCUUCAAGACUCAACUCUAAGAAAGAAACAUCUGGAGAAGGAGUGAAGGGAUUAAAGUAGCAAAAAAAUAUUCCUUUUUGUUUUUCAGACUUUUCAGUUAACUUUCCCUCAGAGAUGCAUUACCCUGACUGUUGGGUUUUGUUAAAGAAGCAAAAUGUGCUGGCAAUUGGAUAAUAGACACAGCUGCAUCUAGUCGAUAAUAACAGGGUAGUCUAAGAAAACAUGUCAUUCCCAGGUCAAGAUAUUUCUUUUAAACAUAUGAACCCUCUCUGUGGUUUGACCAGAUGUGGUUGAACAUUCCUUUACCCUUUUUAGCAAUCAUGUAAUGCCAAGGUUUGAAAAUUCCUUUGUGACAAUUUUCCCUUUAUAAACCACUUUCCCCUGGACCUUGGAGUUAUUCAUCUAUCCUGCUAACUUGGGGCAGUUUGCCGGCUGAGCUGGAACUUAAAUAAAGACUUUGGUAUGCUUG
rnacentral:sRNA from 1 species